AGAGUUUGAUUCUGGCUCAGAACGAACGCUGGCGGCGUGGAUAAGACAUGCAAGUCGAACGGUGAUUAAAGAGUAGCAAUAUUUUUUAAUCAUAGUGGCGAAAGGGUGAGUAACACGUGGGUAAUUUGCCAUGAAGUUGGGGAUAGCCCCGAGAAAUCGGGAUUAAUACCGAAUGUGAAUCAUAAAGGGCAUCCUUUGUGGUUUGAAGCUGGGGACCUUCGGGCCUGGCGCUUCAUGAUAAGCCCGCGGCCUAUCAGCUUGUUGGUGGGGUAAAGGCCUACCAAGGCUCAGACGGGUAGCUGGUUUGAGAGGACGAUCAGUCACACUGGAACUGAGGCACGGUCCAGACACCUACGGGUGGCAGCAGUCGAGAAUCUUUCACAAUGGGCGAAAGCCUGAUGAAGCGACGCCGCGUGGGGGAUGAAUGCCUUCGGGUUGUAAACCCCUGUCAUCUGUUAACAAACCUUUUCGGGAAAUACUCGAAAAGCUGAUAGUCGCAGAAGAGGAAGGGACGGCUAACUCUGUGCCAGCAGCCGCGGUAAUACAGAGGUCCCAAGCGUUGUUCGGAUUCACUGGGCGUAAAGAGUGCGUAGGCGGUGAGGUAAGUUUGAUGUGAAAUCUCCGGGCUCAACCCGGAAACUGCAUUGAAUACUACCACACUGGAGGGUCGGAAGGGAGACUGGAAUUCUCGGUGUAGCAAAAUGCGUAGAUAUCGAGAGGAACACCAGUGGCGAAGGCGAGUCUCUAGACGAUUCCUGACGCUGAGGCACGAAAGCUAGGGGAGCAAACAGGAUUAGAUACCCUGGUAGUCCUAGCCGUAAACGGUGCACAUUUGCUGUGGGCGGAAUCGACCCCGUCCGUGGUGUAGCUAACGCGUUAAAUGUGCCGCCUGGGGAGUACGGUCGCAAGAUUAAAACUCAAAGAAAUUGACGGGGGCCUGCACAAGCGGUGGAGUAUGUGGCUUAAUUCGAUUCAACGCGAAGAACCUUACCUGGGCUUGACAUGCAAGUGUUAGGAACCUGAAAGGGCAACGACCUCGCAAGAGGAGCUUGCACAGGUGCUGCAUGGCUGUCGUCAGCUCGUGUCGUGAGAUGUUGGGUUAAGUCCCGCAACGAGCGCAACCCUCAUGUUCUGUUGCCACCCCUGCUAGCGCGGGGAGCACUCUGAACAGACUGCCUCAUUUAAAUGAGGAGGAAGGUGGGGAUGACGUCAAGUCAGUAUGGCCCUUACGCCUAGGGCUGCACACGUACUACAAUGCCCAGUACAAUGGGAAGCAAUAUCGCAAGGUGGAGCAAAUCCUAAAAACUGGGCUCAGUUCAGAUUGUCGGCUGCAACUCGCCGGCAUGAAGGAGGAAUCGCUAGUAAUGGCGCAUCAGCUACGGCGCCGUGAAUACGUUCCCAGGCCUUGUACACACCGCCCGUCACAUCAUGAAAGCUGACUGUACCCGAAGUCUGUGUGCCAACCUGCAAAGGAGGUAGCGGCCGAAGGUAUGGUUAGUGAUUGGGAUGAAGUCGUAACAAGGUA
rnacentral:rRNA from 1 species